AAUUAGACGAGGCCUUAUAAAAAAUAAUUUUUAUUUUUUUAUUCUGUCUAGUCUUUUUAAGGCCGGAUGAAAGGAAGACCCGCGGAAAAUUUCCGUGAAAUAUAUUUACUGGAGGGUAGUUGUUAUGGAAAAAGGAACCGUAAAGUGGUUCAACAAUCAGAAGGGUUACGGCUUCAUCACCGAUGAGACCGGCAAAGAUGUUUUUGUCCAUUAUUCAGGACUGAACAUGGAAGGCUUCAAGUCUCUUGACGAAGGCCAGGAAGUGGAAUUCGAAGUCAUCGAAGGCACGAAGGGCCCCCAGGCUGUCAACGUAACCAAGCUCUGAUAUCCAAAAAAAGACAGAG
rnacentral:sRNA from 1 species